GACUGCAGGCACCACCACCAUACAAGGAAGCUGGUCUAGAUUACUGGAAGAGAUGCCACUUAAGAGAUAUGUUCUAAAAUGUAGUGUUGAUUUCCGUUUUGUCUGUUGUAAUUAUACUUCUUUUAGUUACAUGGAAUAGAACCCCACUUUAGCUUACUCAAGCAAAGUGGGGUUGGCUGAAAACAUACACAGAAAUCUGAGGGUGAAUCCACAGCCCAAGGAUACUGGAGCUGGAAACAGAAAGCCACCAGGACCCAAGCAGCCCUUUCGGGGACCACAGGGACUGAUCACAAAUCCUCUCUCCACUAUCUGGGUUUUCUCCUGUUUUGGCCACAUGGCAGCUGAUGGCUCCUGCAACCCUGACUGCAUAGGACUUCCACCCGGGCUCCUAAGCCAGCUGACAACUUCCUUUGUCAUAGAGGUCAAAUCCCCAGGAGAGACUCUGGCUCAUUUUUCUAAGCCAGAUCACAAGCCUAAGGUUUCAAAUGGCCAGUCCAGUCAGUGCUGACCAGUCACUUCCAAUUUCUGGAGCCUUGGAAUCACCUCUAGGCAGGAGCAACUUGUCCAAAUGGAGAAUCUGUGUGCAGGCCCUGCGCAUGCUCAGCUCAGA